rnacentral:rRNA from 1 species
UACGGAGGAUCCAAGCGUUAUCCGAAUCAUUGGGUUUAAAGGGUCCGUAGGCGGUUUUAUAAGUCAGUGGUGAAAUCCGGCAGCUCAACUGUCGAACUGCCAUUGAUACUGUAGAACUUGAAUUACUGUGAAGUAACUAGAAUAUGUAGUGUAGCGGUGAAAUGCUUAGAUAUUACAUGGAAUACCAAUUGCGAAGGCAGGUUACUAACAUUAUAUUGACGCUGAUGGACGAAAGCGUGGGGAGCGAACAGG